rnacentral:rRNA from 1 species
ACAGCAGUCGCCGCGGUAAAACCGAGGAUGCAAGCGUUAUCCGGAAUGAUUGGGCGUAAAGCGUGCGCAGGCGGUUCGUUAAGACAGAUGUGAAAUCCCCGGGCUUAACCUGGGAACUGCAUUUGUGACUGGCGAGCUAGAGUAUGGCGGAGGGGGGUAGAAUUCCACGUGUAGCAGUGAAAUUCGUAGAUAUUGGGAAGAACACCGGUGGCGAAGGCGGCAACCUGGUCCUUGACUGACGCUGAGGCGCGAAAGCGUGGGGAGCAAACAGGAUUAGAUACCCCUGUAGUCCCUGUCUCUUAUAA